UACGUAGGGACCAAGCGUUGUUCGGAUUUACUGGGCGUAAAGGGCGCGUAGGCGGCGCGGUAAGUCACUUGUGAAAUCUCUGAGCUUAACUCAGAACGGCCAAGUGAUACUGCAGUGCUAGAGUGCGGAAGGGGCAAUCGGAAUUCUUGGUGUAGCGGUGAAAUGCGUAGAUAUCAAGAGGAACACCUGAGGUGAAGACGGGUUGCUGGGCCGACACUGACGCUGGAGCGCGAAAGCCAGGGGAGCAAACGGG
rnacentral:rRNA from 1 species